rnacentral:rRNA from 1 species
GGGUCAGCGACUGGGGUGAAGUCGUAACAAGGUAGCCGUAGGGGAACCUGCGGCUGGAUCACCUCCUUU